UGAGUAAAUCAGGUGAUCGCGGGCACUUGAUGUCAAGUGCCUGAGGAAAGUCCGAGCUCCAUAGGGCAGGGUGCUGGGUAACACCCAGUGGGGGCGACCCCAAGGAUAGUGCCACAGAAAUGUAGACCGCCCAGCACUCAACCCAGUGAAUGAAAGGUUGCCUUUUGUUUGAAGAAUAGUUUUUCACGUGAAAGAUAAUCUUUCAAUUACCGGGUUGAGUGCUGGGUAAGGGUGCAACGGUGCGGUAAGAGCGCACCAGCGGCCGGGCGACCGGCCGGCUAGGUAAACCCCACCCGGAGCAAGACCGAAUAGGGGGACCAUGGAGUGGCCCGCUCCGUCCCCGGGUCAGGUCGCUAGAGGCGUUAGGCAACUAACGUCCCAGAUAGAUGAUCACCCACGACAGAACUCGGCUUAUAGGUUUACUCACAAA
rnacentral:RNase_P_RNA from 1 species